rnacentral:lncRNA from 1 species
GGAGUUACACACUCUAAACCUGUAACUAUUUUUGAAGCUCUAGCAAAGACAUCAAGGGCACAUUUUGACUGUUUCAAGUUAGGCAGUUACAGCCUCUUGCUAGCUCCCUGUUUUUCAGUUUGGAAGUGAGAUUUAUGCAGUCACUCAGUCCACCAGUACCCAUUCCUGCUAACUAAUUUUAGCAAAAUUCCACAGAAGACUGAGGCCAUCUUAAACCCUGGGAAACUUGGCAGUAGGUAAGACAAGAGUCUGCAGCUGCCCAGCUCUCUGCUAUGUGGCCAUCAGCCACAUGGCCCAUUAACACACAUACAUCACCAUAAGGCCUCCUCCAAUCCCAUUGGCAUUGCAGAGCACUGACUAUGACAGACAGCAAAGGAAGAAAGCACCAUCCUUUGAAAGGAACUAGACACCACCAGUUCCACCACUCAGAGGGCUGGGCAUUUGCUUUUCUUCUGCUGUGACUGUACAGAAAACAGUGACAUCCUGCUAAGGAUGCAGAGGCUAGCCCUGUACCCUGCCCUGCCUGCUGUGCAUGCUGCUGGACCAUCUGUCAGUGGAGCUCUCAGACCCUAUUCUUGAAGAAACAGCAGAUUGUGAUCAUCAAGGGUAGUGACAAAAAGAAAACAAGAAGUUGGGAAAUAGAGAUGACCAUGUCCAUAUUCGUAAAUUAUGACGUGAACGUUCCCCUGGAUGAGACCAUCUGCGCUAUUCAUUUAUAUGAGAACUAGCAAUAGCCAAGAAUUGCUCCUGGUCAUUAGUUUGGGUGCAGCCACAGUAGUCUUGAGACUGAGAGUUUAUCUUCAUUGUGGAUACAAGUUAUUCUGUGACAAUUGGUUUAUGUUGAGAUGGUCCUGAAAAUGCUGAAUUAAGGCGGAGGUACCUCUACCAUGGAAAAUCAUGUGUCACCAUGUGGGUAAAAAGGAAGGCUGAUUUCUUCCAUACUACUUAGCCCAAAUUAGGACUGCUAGAUGCAGCUGUUUAGGAGAAUCAUGGUGUUGCAACUUGUUAUCACUUCUAUCUGCUUUGGAUGCAGACAGCGGGAGAUGGCUGAAUCUGAUGAAACCCCCAUGAGCUGCACCCUUGAUGCAAUGCACAUUCCUUGCUCAUUGACUCACAGCUAUCAACUUUCCUUUACUCCCUCUUUGCCAUGUGUUUUGUAGCACUCUAAACACCUGAGGAGACAAUGUUUUGAGCAGACACUUGCUGUAUUUGCGCACAGUACUGCAUGUCUUCUCUCUGUCACUCUGGACAUACAUGGCUCAUGCAACAGAUCAGAAAUUAGGUAAGCAAAGAUAUAAAGUUAUUCUGCUUGUGCAGAAUGGAUAAUGAGAGUAAUGCAAUUAACAGUAUUAAUGUUAAUAACUAGAUAUCUGCUAUUAGCAGUCUCCCACCUUGAUCAUUUAUUAAACAGUGACAC